GACGACAGCCGCAGAAACCAGGCCGCUGCAACUGUUUAUUAAAAACAUAGCACUCUGCAAACACGAAAGUGGACGUAUAGGGUGUGAUGCCUGCCCGGUGCUGGAAGGUUAAUUGAUGGGGUUAGCGUAAGCGAAGCUCUUGAUCGAAGCCCCAGUAAACGGCGGCCGUAACUAUAACGGUCCUAAGGUAGCGAAAUUCCUUGUCGGGUAAGUUCCGACCUGCACGAAUGGCAUAAUGAUGGCGGCGCUGUCUCCAGCAGAGGCUCAGUGAAAUCGAAAUCGCUGUGAAGAUGCAGUGUACCCGCGGCUAGACGGAAAGACCCCGUGAACCUUUACUGCAGCUUGACACUGAACUUUGACCUUACUUGUGUAGGAUAGGUGGGAGGCUUUGAAGCUGGAACGCUAGUUCCAGUGGAGCCGUCCUUGAAAUACCACCCUGGUAAUGUUGAGGUUCUAACUCUGUCCCGUGAUCCGGGACGAGGACCGUGUCUGGUGGGUAGUUUGACUGGGGCGGUCUCCUCCUAAAGAGUAACGGAGGAGUACGAAGGUGCGCUCAGCGUGGUCGGAAAUCACGCGUAGAGUAUAAAGGCAAAAGCGCGCUUAACUGCGAGACCCACAAGUCGAGCAGGUACGAAAGUAGGUCUUAGUGAUCCGGUGGUUCUGUAUGGAAGGGCCAUCGCUCAACGGAUAAAAGGUACUCUGGGGAUAACAGGCUGAUACCGCCCAAGAGUUCAUAUCGACGGCGGUGUUUGGCACCUCGAUGUCGGCUCAUCUCAUCCUGGGGCUGAAGCAGGUCCCAAGGGUAUGGCUGUUCGCCAUUUAAAGAGGUACGCGAGCUGGGUUUAGAACGUCGUGAGACAGUUCGGUCCCUAUCUACCGUGGGCGCUGGAAAUUUGAGAGGAUCUGCUCCUAGUACGAGAGGACCAGAGUGGACGAACCUCUGGUGUACCGGUUGUGACGCCAGUCGCAUCGCCGGGUAGCUAUGUUCGGAAGGGAUAACCGCUGAAAGCAUCUAAGCGGGAAGCCUACCUCAAGAUAAGAUUUCCCUAGGACUUUAUGUCCUCUAAAGAGCCGUUCGAGACUAGGACGUUGAUAGGUUGGAUGUGGAAGCAUAGUGAUAUGUGAAGCUGACCAAUACUAAUUGCUCGUGAGGCUUGACUAU
rnacentral:rRNA from 1 species